rnacentral:rRNA from 1 species
AUACGGAGGGUGCGAGCGUUAAUCGGAAUUACUGGGCGUAAAGCGUACGUAGGCGGUUUGCUAAGUCAGAUGUGAAAGCCCCGGGCUUAACCUGGGAACUGCAUUUGAUACUGGCAGACUAGAGUAUGAUAGAGGGGGGUAGAAUUCCUGGUGUAGCGGUGAAAUGCGAAGAUAUCAGGAGGAAUACCAGUGGCGAAGGCGGCCCCCUGGAUCAAUACUGACGCUGAGGUACGAAAGCGUGGGGAGCGAACAGGAUUAGAAACCCCAGUAGUCC